rnacentral:rRNA from 1 species
AGUGAACGCUGGCGGUAGGCCUAACACAUGCAAGUCGAACGGCAGCACAGUAAGAGCUUGCUCUUACGGGUGGCGAGUGGCGGACGGGUGAGGAAUACAUCGGCAUCUACUUUUUCGUGGGGGAUAACGUAGGGACACUUACGCUAAUACCGCAUACGACCUACGGGUUAAAUCAGGAGAUCUUCGGACCUUGCGCGAUUGAAUGAGCCGAUGUCGGAUUAGCUAGUUGGCGGGGUAAAGGCCCACCAAGGCGACGAUCCGUAGCUGGUCUGAGAGGAUGAUCAGCCACACUGGAACUGAGACACGGUCCAGACUCCUACGGGAGGCAGCAGUGGGGAAUAUUGGACAAUGGGCGAAAGCCUGAUCCAGCCAUACCGCGUGGGUGAAGAAGGCCUUCGGGUUGUAAAGCCCUUUUGUUGGGAAAGAAAAGCAGCAGGUUAAUACCCCGCUGUUCUGACGGUACCCAAAGAAUAAGCACCGGCUAACUUCGUG